rnacentral:rRNA from 1 species
AACGCGAAGAACCUUACCAGCCCUUGACAUGUCCCGUAUGAGUACCAGAGAUGGAACUCUUCAGUUCGGCUGGCGGGAACACAGGUGCUGCAUGGCUGUCGUCAGCUCGUGUCGUGAGAUGUUGGGUUAAGUCCCGCAACGAGCGCAACCCUCGCCCUUAGUUGCCAUCAUUAAGUUGGGCACUCUAAGGGGACGUGCCGGUGAUAAGCCGCGAGGAAGGUGGGGAUGACGUCAAGUCCUCAUGGCCUUACGGCGUGGGCGUACACACGUGCUACAAUGGCGGUGACAGUGGGAGUGCAAUGGAGCAAUCCUGCGCAAAUACUCAAAAAGACCGUCUCAGUUCGGAUUGUGCUCUGCAACUCGAGCACAUGAAGUUGGAAUCGCUAGUAAUCGCAGAUCAGCACGCUGCGGUGAAUACGUUCCCGGGCCUUGUACACACCGCACUACUA